AUACUCUGGUUUCUCUUCAGAUCGUGUAAAUAUUUUGCCUUUUACUAAAGAUUCCCGUGGAGAAAAACAGUUCUCAAUGACCAUCAAUUUUUUGAGGCCUUGCUUUUUGCUCU